CCUACGGGAGGCAGCAGUGAGGAAUAUUGGUCAAUGGACGCGAGUCUGAACCAGCCAUGCCGCGUGCAGGAUGACGGCUCUAUGAGUUGUAAACUUCUUUUGUACGAGGGUAAAGUCCGACACGUGUACCUGGUUGAAUGUAUUUUAUGAAUAAGGAUCGGCUAACUCCGUGCCAGCAGCCGCGGUAAUACGGAGGAUCCGAGCGUUAUCCGGAUUUAUUGGGUUUAAAGGGUGCGUAGGCGGUUUGUUAAGUCAGUUGUGAAAGCUCGGGGCUCAACCGUGGAAUUGCAGUUGAUACUGGCAGGCUAGAGUAUAGUAGAGGUAGGCGGAAUGUGUGGUGUAGCGGUGAAAUGCAUAGAGAUCAUGCAGAACACCGAUUGCGAAGGCAGUUUACCAAACUACGACUGACGUUGAGGCACGAAAGCGUGGGGAGCAAACAGGAUUAGAUACCCGAGUAGUC
rnacentral:rRNA from 1 species